UUCUAACCGUAAACGAUGCCAACUAGCGAUCUGUCGGUGUUAAGAUUUGACUCGACAGGCAGCUUCCGGGAAACCAAAGUUUUCUGGUUCCGGGGGAAGUAUGGUUGCAAAGCUUAAACUUAAAGGAAUUGACGGAAGGGCACCACCAGGAGUGGAGCCUGCGGCUUAAUUUGACUCAACACGGGGAAACUCACCCGGCCAGGACACUAUAAGGAUUGACAGAUUGAUAGCUCUUUCUCGAUUUAGUGGGUGGUGGUGCAUGGCCGUUCUUAGUUGGUGGAGCGAUUUGUCUGGUUAAUUCCGAUAACGAACGAGACUCUAGCCUAUUAAAUAGACGAUAUAUUAUUAGUUUAUCGAGCUUCUUAGAGGGACAAGCAGCUUCUAGCUGCGCGAGAUUGAGCAAUAACAGGUCUGUGAUGCCCUUAGAUGUCCGGGGCUGCACGCGCGCUACAAUGAAAAUAGCAGCGUGCUUAGUAAACCUUUUCCGGUAGGAAUCGGUAAACACGAAAUAUUUUCGUGCUUGGGAUAGGGGAUUGAAAUUAUUGCCCUUAAACGAGGAAUUCCCAGUAAGUGCGAGUCAUUAGCUUGCGUUG
rnacentral:rRNA from 1 species